AAAUUGAAGAGUUUGAUCAUGGCUCAGAUUGAACGCUGGCGGCAGGCCUAACACAUGCAAGUCGAGCGGUAGCACAGAGAGCUUGCUCUCGGGUGACGAGCGGCGGACGGGUGAGUAAUGUCUGGGAAACUGCCUGAUGGAGGGGGAUAACUACUGGAAACGGUAGCUAAUACCGCAUAACGUCGCAAGACCAAAGUGGGGGACCUUCGGGCCUCAUGCCAUCAGAUGUGCCCAGAUGGGAUUAGCUAGUAGGUGGGGUAAUGGCUCNCCUAGGCGACGAUCCCUAGCUGGUCUGAGAGGAUGACCAGCCACACUGGAACUGAGACACGGUCCAGACUCCUACGGGAGGCAGCAGUGGGGAAUAUUGCACAAUGGGCGCAAGCCUGAUGCAGCCAUGCCGCGUGUGUGAAGAAGGCCUUCGGGUUGUAAAGCACUUUCAGCGGGGAGGAAGGCGAUAAGGUUAAUAACCUUGUCGAUUGACGUUACCCGCAGAAGAAGCACCGGCUAACUCCGUGCCAGCAGCCGCGGUAAUACGGAGGGUGCAAGCGUUAAUCGGAAUUACUGGGCGUAAAGCGCACGCAGGCGGUCUGUCAAGUCGGAUGUGAAAUCCCCGGGCUCAACCUGGGAACUGCAUUCGAAACUGGCAGGCUAGAGUCUUGUAGAGGGGGGUAGAAUUCCAGGUGUAGCGGUGAAAUGCGUAGAGAUCUGGAGGAAUACCGGUGGCGAAGGCGGCCCCCUGGACAAAGACUGACGCUCAGGUGCGAAAGCGUGGGGAGCAAACAGGAUUAGAUACCCUGGUAGUCCACGCCGUAAACGAUGUCGAUUUGGAGGUUGUGCCCUUGAGGCGUGGCUUCCGGAGCUAACGCGUUAAAUCGACCGCCUGGGGAGUACGGCCGCAAGGUUAAAACUCAAAUGAAUUGACGGGGGCCCGCACAAGCGGUGGAGCAUGUGGUUUAAUUCGAUGCAACGCGAAGAACCUUACCUGGUCUUGACAUCCACAGAACUUUCCAGAGAUGGAUUGGUGCCUUCGGGAACUGUGAGACAGGUGCUGCAUGGCUGUCGUCAGCUCGUGUUGUGAAAUGUUGGGUUAAGUCCCGCAACGAGCGCAACCCUUAUCCUUUGUUGCCAGCGGUUAGGCCGGGAACUCAAAGGAGACUGCCAGUGAUAAACUGGAGGAAGGUGGGGAUGACGUCAAGUCAUCAUGGCCCUUACGACCAGGGCUACACACGUGCUACAAUGGCAUAUACAAAGAGAAGCGACCUCGCGAGAGCAAGCGGACCUCAUAAAGUAUGUCGUAGUCCGGAUUGGAGUCUGCAACUCGACUCCAUGAAGUCGGAAUCGCUAGUAAUCGUAGAUCAGAAUGCUACGGUGAAUACGUUCCCGGGCCUUGUACACACCGCCCGUCACACCAUGGGAGUGGGUUGCAAAAGAAGUAGGUAGCUUAACCUUCGGGAGGGCGCUUACCACUUUGUGAUUCAUGACUGGGGUGAAGUCGUAACAAGGUAACCGUAGGGGAACCUGCGGUUGGAUCACCUCCUUACCUUAAAGAA
rnacentral:rRNA from 1 species